rnacentral:rRNA from 1 species
UAGAUAGAAAGAUUAAACUGAAGAGUUUGAUCAUGGCUCAGAUUGAACGCUGGCGGCAGGCUUAACACAUGCAAGUCGAACGAUGACUCUCUAGCUUGCUAGAGAAGAUUAGUGGCGGACGGGUGAGUAACAUUUAGGAAUCUGCCUAGUAGUGGGGGAUAGCUCGGGGAAACUCGAAUUAAUACCGCAUACGACCUACGGGUGAAAGGGGGCGCAAGCUCUUGCUAUUAGAUGAGCCUAAAUCAGAUUAGCUAGUUGGUGGGGUAAAGGCCCACCAAGGCGACGAUCUGUAACUGGUCUGAGAGGAUGAUCAGUCACACCGGAACUGAGACACGGUCCGGACUCCUACGGGAGGCAGCAGUGGGGAAUAUUGGACAAUGGGGGCAACCCUGAUCCAGCCAUGCCGCGUGUGUGAAGAAGGCCUUUUGGUUGUAAAGCACUUUAAGCAGGGAGGAGAGGCUAAUGGUUAAUACCCAUUAGAUUAGACGUUACCUGCAGAAUAAGCACCGGCUAACUCUGUGCCAGCAGCCGCGGUAAUACAGAGGGUGCGAGCGUUAAUCGGAAUUACUGGGCGUAAAGCGAGUGUAGGUGGCUCAUUAAGUCACAUGUGAAAUCCCCGGGCUUAACCUGGGAACUGCAUGUGAUACUGGUGGUGCUAGAAUAUGUGAGAGGGAAGUAGAAUUCCAGGUGUAGCGGUGAAAUGCGUAGAGAUCUGGAGGAAUACCGAUGGCGAAGGCAGCUUCCUGGCAUAAUAUUGACACUGAGAUUCGAAAGCGUGGGUAGCAAACAGGAUUAGAUACCCUGGUAGUCCACGCCGUAAACGAUGUCUACUAGCCGUUGGGGUCCUUGAGACUUUAGUGGCGCAGUUAACGCGAUAAGUAGACCGCCUGGGGAGUACGGCCGCAAGGUUAAAACUCAAAUGAAUUGACGGGGGCCCGCACAAGCGGUGGAGCAUGUGGUUUAAUUCGAUGCAACGCGAAGAACCUUACCUGGUCUUGACAUAGUGAGAAUCCUGCAGAGAUGCGGGAGUGCCUUCGGGAAUUCACAUACAGGUGCUGCAUGGCUGUCGUCAGCUCGUGUCGUGAGAUGUUGGGUUAAGUCCCGCAACGAGCGCAACCCUUUUCCUUAUUUGCCAGCGGGUUAAGCCGGGAACUUUAAGGAUACUGCCAGUGACAAACUGGAGGAAGGCGGGGACGACGUCAAGUCAUCAUGGCCCUUACGACCAGGGCUACACACGUGCUACAAUGGUAGGUACAGAGGGUUGCUACACAGCGAUGUGAUGCUAAUCUCAAAAAGCCUAUCGUAGUCCGGAUUGGAGUCUGCAACUCGACUCCAUGAAGUCGGAAUCGCUAGUAAUCGCAGAUCAGAAUGCUGCGGUGAAUACGUUCCCGGGCCUUGUACACACCGCCCGUCACACCAUGGGAGUCUAUUGCACCAGAAGUAGGUAGCCUAACG